UAAUACCGGAUAGAUCAAAGAUACUGGAAUGUCCUUUGGUCUAAAACUCCGGUGCCCAAGGAUGGGUCUGCGGCCUAUCAGGUAGUAGUGGGUGUAACGUACCUACUAGCCUACGACGGGUAAGGGUUGUGAGAGCAAGAGCCCUGAGAUGGAUUCUGAGACAUGAAUCCAGGCCCUACGGGGUGCAGCAGGCGCGAAAACUUUACACUGCGGGAAACCGCGAUAUGGGGACCCCGAGUGCCAGCACCUAGUGCUGGCUGUCCCGCUGUCUAAACAACAGUGGUUAGCAAGGGCCGGGCAAGACCGGUGCCAGCCGCCGCGGUAACACCGGCGGCCCGAGUGGUAGCCGUUAUUAUUGGGUUUAAAGGGUCCGUAGCCGGCCUGUUAAGUCUCUUGGGAAAUCUGGCGGCUCAAUCGUCAGGCGUUC
rnacentral:rRNA from 1 species